UACGUAGGGGGCAAGCGUUGUUCGGAAUGACUGGGCGUAAAGGGUGCGUAGGCGGUGUAGCAAGUUAGAAGUGAAAUACCUAGAGCUUAACUCAGGUGCUGCUUCUAAAACUGCUAUACUUGAGUGCAGUAGAGGAAAGUGGAAUUCCUAGUGUAGCGGUGGAAUGCGUAGAUAUCAGGAGGAACAUCAGUGGCGAAGGCGACUUUCUGGACUGUAACUGACGCUGAGGCACGAAAGUGUGGGGAGCAAACAGG
rnacentral:rRNA from 1 species